rnacentral:rRNA from 1 species
CAACGAUCUGGGCACUGUCUCAACGAGAGACUCGGUGAAAUUAUAGUACCUGUGAAGAUGCAGGUUACCCGCGACAGGACGGAAAGCCCCCGUGGAGCUUUACUGCAACCUGAUAUGGAAUGUUUGUCCCGCUUGUACAGGAUAGGUAGGAGCCGAAGAGACGUGUGCGCUAGCAUACGAGGAGGCAAUGGUGGGAUACU